rnacentral:rRNA from 1 species
CAUAGAGCUAAUACAUGCAAUAUAGUCUGACUUUUUGGAAGGACUAGCACUUAUUAGAUAUUAAACCAGUCCCAGCAAUGGGUUUUAUGGUGAUUCAUAGUAACUGAACAAAUCACUAUGGUCUUGUACCGGUGAUGUUUCAUUCAAAUUUCUGCCCUAUCAACUAGAUGGUAGUAUAUAGGACUACCAUGGUUGUAACGGGUAACGGAGGAUUAGGGUUUGAUUCCGGAGAAGGAGCAUGAGAAACGGCUACUAUUUCUAAGGAAAGCAGCAGGCGCGCAAAUUAUUCAAUGGAAACAAUUUUCCGAAAUAGUGACAAAAAAUAUCAAUGCUAGAUACUAUGUAUUUAGUAAUUGGAAUGAGUACAAUUUAAAAUCCCUUAACAAGUAACAAUUAGAGGGCAAGUCUGGUGCCAGCAGCCGCGGUAAUUCCAGCUCUAAUAGCGUAUAUUAAUAUUGUUGCAGUUAAAAAGCUCGUAGUUGAAAUUUGGGACUUUAUUAUAUUGGUUUACCUUUUGGUGAACUGUAUAAUGGGUUUC